rnacentral:lncRNA from 1 species
AAAAUGAUCGAGCUGAAACUAGAAGGGACGCUGGAGACGCAGAAGGUAAUGAGCUGAUUUGGGAUUUGGCUGGGACUCAAGGUGCAAGGAGCGAUUGAAAAUAUUGGGUGUAUUUUGCUGAAUGUGCCUCACCAGCCAAGCAGGUUUUUUUUUCUGUUAGCGCAAGCAGAGAGGCAGGAAGCAAAAGAGACGGCUGCUCCAAAGAGACGGACAAACUGACUGUUCCUGACAAGGAUGCUGCAAUCGGACACACACAUAAUCCUCCGGAAAAUUCAUCUCAGUAAGACGGCCUUGAAGGGGUAAUUAAAAUGCACUGAGUGGAGACUGCACCUGUUUACAAGGGAGUAUGCUGGCUAUCCAAGAGAUGUGCAAGACAUUCAGAGAAGAGAGCUGGGACGUGGAAACGAAGCUGAACAGAAAUUACAAUCACGCUCAGAAGAUCCAGGGAAGACGAGGGGGAGGAAAGAGCAUCACUACUAAGCAAACCACAAUAAUUUCACUCACUCAGUAGGCUUAGGCUGGGUUCAUGGAGAUUCCAGGAAACUCCCAUUAUCUUGGUUUUCUCCUCUCUACGUGACUCCUUCCUUCUAGCAUCCCCAAAUACCUAUUGCAUUGACUCACUGGGACACAACCAGGAGAUGGCCG